GACGAACGCUGGCGGUGUGCUUAACACAUGCAAGUCGAACGGAAAGGCCCUGCUUUUGUGGGGUGCUCGAGUGGCGAACGGGUGAGUAACACGUGAGUAACCUGCCCCUGACUUUGGGAUAACUUCAGGAAACUGGGGCUAAUACCGGAUAGGAGCUCCUGCUGCAUGGUGGGGGUUGGAAAGUUUCGGCGGUUGGGGAUGGACUCGCGGCUUAUCAGCUUGUUGGUGGGGUAGUGGCUUACCAAGGCUUUGACGGGUAGCCGGCCUGAGAGGGUGACCGGCCACAUGGGGACUGAGCUACGGCCCAGACUCCUACGGGAGGCAGCAGUGGGGAAUUUUGCACAAUGGGCGGAAGCCUGAUGCAGGAACGCCGCGUGCGGGAUGGCGGCCUUCGGGUAUUAAACCGCUUUGGCGUGUGCCUAAGCGUGAGUGACGGUAAUGGGUAAAGAAGCACCGGCUAACUACGUG
rnacentral:rRNA from 1 species